CUACAUUUUAAUUCGACCUUAUUCAAAAUUGAACUCCUUCUUUCAUUUUUCGUCAGAUUAUUUCAAAACGGGGGGAAGAAUUCGUGCAUAACAACGAGUUUCAUUGGAGUCCAUGUUGAUUAUGCAAAAUUAAGGAGUUCCUAUAGAGGCAGAAUUAUUUCAAAUUGGGGGGUUAAAUUACAUCCUUCUUUCAUUUUUUCGUCUGGUUGUCGACGUCAUAUGCGAUAUCGCAACGACAUCGAGUAUAAGACAUGGCGCGGGGUCCAAAGUAGGUACAGAUGGCACCGGCGCAAUGCGAGGCGCUCUGCUUCUACGACGAUUGAUCGAGAGUCCAUGAGGGGGCAUCCAUCCAUCCACGACGUGAGACGUUUCGUGGAGCAAAGUGAAACGAUAGCCCUGGUUGCCGCAUAUCAUGGAAGACAGGAACAGCCGUCGAGCAACCUCCCCAAUAAUCCAACUACCUGUCUGUAUAGCAGUAUGACCCCUCCUUGUGUAGCACUGGACAAGAGAGCCCCACGAACGUCCAUUGUGAAUCGAGUGCUCGUGGAACAAAGUGCAGGCAUCUAUCGACCAACUCAAGAGACGUCUUUGUACGUAUUCAAUAAAGAUGUUUCCGUGAAUAAACCACA